GAUCAUGGGCUCAGGAUGAACGCUGGCGGCGUGCCUAAUACAUGCAAGUCGAACGCUUCACUUCGGUGAAGAGUGGCGAACGGGUGAGUAAUACAUAAGUAACCUGGCAUCUACAGGGGGAUAACUGAUGGAAACGUCAGCUAAGACCGCAUAGGUGUAGAGAUCGCAUGAACUCUAUAUGAAAAGUGCUACGGGACUGGUAGAUGAUGGACUUAUGGCGCA
rnacentral:rRNA from 1 species